rnacentral:tRNA from 1 species
GGCAGUGUAGCACAGUUGGAUAGUACGCUCGGCUGUUAUAACCGAGAGAUCGAAGGUUCGAUUCCUUCCACUGCCG